rnacentral:rRNA from 1 species
CCUACGGGAGGCAGCAGUGAGGAAUAUUGGUCAAUGGACGAGAGUCUGAACCAGCCAAGUAGCGUGAAGGAUGACUGCCCUAUGGGUUGUAAACUUCUUGUAUAAAGGAAUAAAACGAGGCACGGGUGCCUUUUUGAAUGUACUUUAUGAAAAAGGAUCGGCUAACUCCGUGUCAGCAGCCGCGGUAAUACGGAGGAUCCGAGCGUUAUCCGGAUUUAUUGGGUUUAAAGGGAGCGUAGAUGGGUUGUUAAGUCAGUUGUGAAAGUUUGCGGCUCAACCGUAAAAUUGCAAUUGAUACUGGCAGUCUUGAGUACAGUUGAGGUAAGCGGAAUUCGUGGUGUAGCGGUGAAAUGCUUAGAUAUCACGAAGAACCCCGAUUGCAAAGGCAGCUUACUAAACUGUGACUGACAUUGAUGCUCGAAAGUGUGGGUAUCAAACAGGAUUAGAUACCCUUGUAGUC